AACAAGCGGCUCCCUCGUAUCGGGACGAAAUAUAUUGUUUAUAUAUGGUCCAAACCAUAUAGAAUUUCCCAGAAGCAGGAAAACCUGAAUCGAAGUCCCGAGUCUGCCGUCUGCCUGUACCGAUCGCGAUCUGGAAAUGGGAAAGCAGCGCGUAAAGUACUCUGUGGUGGACACGUUCGCCGACUCGCCGUUUAAGGGAAAUCCGGCGGCGGUUUGUUUCUUGAAGGAGGAGAAAGACGACGAGUGGCUGCAAGCAGUCGCCGCUGAGUUCAACAUCUCCGAGACCUGUUACUUGACUCGUAUUGCUCAUCCCGAUGAGUCGUCGGUGGUUCGUAACUCGCUGGGAGCAGCUACGACCCCUCGGUUCCGGCUCCGAUGGUUCACUCCUGUCGCCGAGGUUACCCUCUGUGGUCAUGCAACCCUAGCAGCUUCACACUUUCUAUUCACAUCCGGCUUGGUUGAUGCUGAUAGAAUCGAGUUUCUGACGCUAUCCGGAGUUUUGACUGCUAAAAGAGUUCGAGAAACCAGAGAAACAAGUUCUCUGAAAUUGGAGACCAGUGAAGCCCAAGAUUACUUUUCAAUAGAGUUGGAUUUUCCAAUAGUUCAACUUACUGAAUCUGACCCUGCCGAGGUCCCAUCAAUUUCUAAAGCCUUGAGUGGUGCUUCCAUAAUUGACUUAAAGAGGACAACUACUGACAACCUCUUUGUUUUACUACCAUCAGGAGAGGCUGUAGCACAUCUACAGCCCCAAAUUGAUCAAAUACAACAAUGUAGUGGGGAAGGACUAAUUAUUACAGGGCUAGCCCCCCCCGGAUCUGGAUUUGACUUUUUUAGUCGCUACUUCGCCCCAAAAUUCGGGAUUAGAGAGGAUCCUGUUUGUGGGAGCGCACAUUGUGCCUUGGCAGCCUACUGGUCUAAAAAGUUGGGAAAAUGUGAUUUUGUUGCCUAUGCAGUAAUCUCUCUCUCUCUCUCUCUCUCUCUCACACACACACACACACACACAAAAGUUUGUAAAUUCCUCAAUCGUAGCGUUUGCUUGAUUCAGGCAUCACCAAGAGGCGGAACAGUAACCAUCCAUUUAGAUGAGAAGAGCCAGAGAGUACUGCUCAGGGGGAAGGCCUUCACUGUAAUGGAAGGUUUUCUUUUGGUUUAGUUUAGUGUUGCCACAUCUUUGAUUACACAACUUAAUUGAUGGGUGGGAGACUUCCUCUAAUUUUGAUUAAUGCUCCUUUGUACUUGGACGCUCCUAUUUGAAAUGACUGUACGCUAUUUGUUUCCUUUCUACCUGGUUCCAACUGUUUUAUUUUGUGAUGGAAUGAUUAUUUACCAAAAAGCCUGAAUACAACAAUAGCUGUGGAUUGUUU